rnacentral:tRNA from 1 species
GGUUUUUAGCUCAGUGGUAGAGCCUUUGCCUCAUAUGCAUGAGGCACUGGGUUUGAUCCUCAGCACCA